GUCCACGCCGUAAACGAUGAGUGCUAGGUGCUGCGGGUAUUGACCCCUGCGGUGCCGUAGCUAACGCGUUAAGCACUCCGCCUGGGGAGUACGGCCGCAAGGCUAAAACUCAAAAGGAAUUGACGGGGGCCCGCACAAGCGGUGGAGCAUGUGGUUCAAUUCGACGCAACGCGCAGAACCUUACCUGGGUUAAAUCCACUCGAAGUUGGUAGAGAUACCGAUGUGCCUUUCGGGGAGCGAGUGAGAAGGUGCUGCAUGGCUGUCGU
rnacentral:rRNA from 1 species